rnacentral:tRNA from 1 species
GGAGAGAUGGCUCAGUGGUUAAGAGCACUGAUUGCUGUUCCAGAAGUUCUGAGUUCAAUUCCCAGCAACUACA